rnacentral:pre_miRNA from 1 species
AUGUUACUCCCUCCGUCCGGAAAUACUUGUCAUCAAAAUGGACAAAAAAGAUAUAUCUAGAACUAAAAUACAUCUAGAUACAUCCCCUUUUAUUCAUUUUGAUGACAAGUAUUUCCGGACGGAGGGAGUAUAAU